GAUGAACGCUGGCGGCGUGCCUAAUACAUGCAAGUCGAGCGAACAGACGAGGAGCUUGCUCCUCUGACGUUAGCGGCGGACGGGUGAGUAACACGUGGAUAACCUACCUAUAAGACUGGGAUAACUUCGGGAAACCGGAGCUAAUACCGGAUAAUAUAUUGAACCGCAUGGUUCAAUAGUGAAAGACGGUUUUGCGGUCACUUAUAGAUGGAUCCGCGCCGCAUUAGCUAGUUGGUAAGGUAACGGCUUACCAAGGCAACGAUGCGUAGCCGACCUGAGAGGGUGAUCGGCCACACUGGAACUGAGACACGGUCCAGACUCCUACGGGAGGCAGCAGUAGGGAAUCUUCCGCAAUGGGCGAAAGCCUGACGGAGCAACGCCGCGUGAGUGAUGAAGGUCUUCGGAUCGUAAAACUCUGUUAUUAGGGAAGAACAAAUGUUUAAGUAACUCUGCACGUCUUGACGGUACCUAAUCAGAAAGCCACGGCUAACUACGUG
rnacentral:rRNA from 1 species